rnacentral:lncRNA from 1 species
CCCCCUUUCCCUUAUUCCAAAAAAUAAUUAUUUCCCUCAAGAUAUGAGGGUCUGAAUGGGGGUCUGACAUUCUGUAAACAUUUAAUUUUCACCCCUUUUUUCUUUCUAAUCUUUAAAAAAUUAACCCCAAUUUUUCUCUAAUCUUCAAAAAAUUAACCCCUUUUUUCUCUAAUCUUUAUUUUUUUUGCCUGUUAUUCUCUAAUCUUCAGUUUUUAAGGGCAUUAUUCUUUAAUUAUUUAACCCCAUCCAAACCCUCAGAUAUGGUCAAAUUUCUAAUGGAGUUUGCAACCGAAAUAACCCAUUUAAAUACAUGUACAUCAUAAAAGUUUAAAAUUAUAAAGUGACAUACGUACAUGUAUAGUCCUGGCUAAAAUUAAAAACAAUUAAUAACUACUGCUAAAAUUAAU